GUCAGUAUUUAUUUCUAUCGUAAAAGUUCCGAAUAAAUAAUAAAUGAGAAUAACAUAUACUCGUACAAAUUAUGUUUCUCUUG
rnacentral:sRNA from 16 species